UCACUUUUACUAUAUAUUAAAUAUGGAUCAAUAUGGAACAAUAUUCCACGCACCGCAGUAAAUUGCUCAAUCCAAGACGUUUAUUGUCUCCUAUGAAAUCACUACACAAGUAAGUGGUACAUGUUCAGCUUUGCGAACAACUCACGAUCUCCUUUAAUAUCCUUGCAAAGCAUAUGUGUAUGUUACCCUACAUGCACAUGACGAAUCUCUUUAAAAAUAAAUUUAUUUUUUCGACAAUUAUUUACUCUAAACAAACACAUAACCUGAUCAUUCGCAACCAUUUACGACUUUAUCAUGGGAAAAUUCGUCUCAAUCUAACUCCAACCACUACUACGCCGCUUGCACGAAGUUUUUUGCAACUAUUACUUCCUUAUGUCGGUUUGUUAUUGCUCAUUUCUUUUAACGCAUAAGCUGGUAUUUCUAAAAAAAUAAAUACCUCAUAAGUUGUAGAACUAACAACUUUCAACCUAUUACAUAUGUAAUCGGCAAUACAUAAGGAAAUAAAUAUGCCACAAAUAUUUCUAUCCUACGAAUAUACAAUCCACAGCAUACUUAAGUAUACAUUUUCUACAUCAUUUUUUAUUUGCCAACUACCAAUCCCUUGUGUGAAACCUUACUUCAUCCUCUAACUUAAGCUAGGCUGCUUGUGUAAUUUAUAACCUCUCCACGACAUCUUUCACUGUGAAUAUCUUUCUAUUCUUCAAAACAAAGAUUAUAAGCACCAUAUCCACCAUCCUCGGCGUCUAUAAUAUUUAUAGGCUCAUCGUUUGUCGGAGACACCUUCGGCCUCUACCUUCAGUUGGUCUAAUUUGUGCUAUCUUUUUCCAUAUUCCAUUGACUCUAAACUCAUCCACAAUACAUAUCUCAAACGAACCAACAGUGUCAUCAUCUUCCAUUGUAUUUGUAACAAUAACACAACAUAAUUUGUUAAUAACAUAAAAAUUAUUUAAAAAUUAGAUCACAAUAAACACUUAAUGUGUUAAUCUGCCAUGGGUGCCCGUCGCACCAAACACAUAUGCGACAUGCACUUUUCUCACAAAACACACCUUAUGUGCUUUGUGCGAUAAUUGCUCCACUGUCGGCCCACUGUUUGCUGUGAAUACACCUUUCCCUGAUAGCCAUCCAUUACACCAUACUAUUUCCAAUAUUCAACCGAUAAUACCAGUUGCCAACAUUCUUACAUUUUGAUUCAAGUAAAAUAAUACCAAAAUUAAGCCUACACAAUAUACUGUAUUCUUUGAGGCAUUUUAGCAAACAUUUGUAUUGCCAUUUUUAACGAACCACAUUUUCAUUAAACAUUUUGUCAAUUUUCAAUCCAAUUUCAUUCCUAAUGUUAACGAGUCUAAUCGCUCAACAAGAUAUAUCCUAUAAUCUUCUACAAUUACUACCAAACCCAUAAAUCCAUUACCCAUUUACGAAUUUUGACAGAAACUUACCGAACUAACUCAAAUUAAAGAGGCCGCCGUUGUAGGAAGUAGCCAUUGUCGUCGCCAUUUAAGAUUUUUGCCGGAGGUAGCCAUUUAAUCACAAAUUUUUAAUGUGUUAUUAUUUUUUAUUUCCCUAUGCUCUUUUACCAAUCCAGUGACCGGCCCAUUACUUGUUUCUCUGGCUACCCCUACAUCUCUACAUGUUUCAUUUCCGGUCGUCAGAUUAUAUCGAACGCUGACUUGGGAAAAUGACAAAUGAGUGGG
rnacentral:lncRNA from 1 species